ACAGAGGUGCCAAGCGUUAGGCGGAAUCACUGGGCUUAAAGCGUGUGUAGGCGGAUCGUUAAGUGCCUUGUGAAAUCCCACGGCUUAACUGUGGAACGGCUGGGCAUACUGGCGGUCUUGAGCCAUCUAGGGGCGACUGGAACAAACGGUGGAGCGGUGAAAUGCGUAGAUAUCGUUUGGAACGCCAAAGGUGAAGACAGGUGACUGGCGGUGUGCCGACGCUGAGACGCGAAAGCCAGGGGAGCAAACGGGA
rnacentral:rRNA from 1 species